rnacentral:rRNA from 1 species
AUUUUGGACAAUGGGCGCAAGCCUGAUCCAGCCAUGCCGCGUGCAGGAUGAAGGCCUUCGGGUUGUAAACUGCUUUUGUACGGAACGAAAAGGUGCCUUCUAAUAAAGGGCGCUCAUGACGGUACCGUAAGAAGAAGCACCGGCUAACUACGUGCCAGCAGCCGCGGUAAUACGUAGGGUGCGAGCGUUAAUCGGAAUUACUGGGCGUAAAGCGUGCGCAGGCGGUUUUGUAAGACAGAUGUGAAAUCCCCGGGCUUAACCUGGGAACUGCGUUAGUGACUGCAAGGCUGGAGUACGGCAGAGGGGGGUGGAAUUCCACGUGUAGCAGUGAAAUGCGUAGAGAUGUGGAGGAACACCGAUGGCGAAGGCAGCCCCCUGUGCCUGUACUGACGCUCAUGCACGAAAGCGUGGGGAGCAAACA